GUCGCUACUCGCCAUGGCGAGCGAAGCGGUCGCCUUUUAAAACCAAGUACUUGACACAGGAAAUUCGGUCGAUCAUCAUCAGGGGUGUUUGAUAGGACGACCAUAAGGAAGCAAAUAAAUAUUGAAGUCAGACCAGGCCAAUUACUGAUGCCACGAACAUGGAUCAUGGAAGAUGGUUACAGCUAACGGGUGAAAAACACAAAUACAUACAGAAGAUCACUUCCCAUGUCCGUAAAGGUUAGUACAA